CCAAGGAGUCUAACAUGUGCGCGAGUCAUUGGGUCUUGUUCAGGCCCAGAGGCGCAAUGAAAGUGAAGGACGCCCCAGUCGGUGUCUGCGUUGGGAUCCCGGGGCCUCGCGUCCCGGGCGCACCAACGGCCCGUCCCGUCCGCCACGUCGGUGGGACGGAGCGAGAGCGUACACGUUGGGACCCGAAAGAUGGUGAACUAUGCCUGGGCAGGACGAGGCCAGAGGAAACUCUGGUGGAGGUCCGCAGCGAUUCUGACGUGCAAAUCGAUCGUCAGACCUUGGUAUAGGGGCGAAAGACUAAUCGAACCGUCUAGUAGCUGGUUCCCUCCGAAGUUUCCCUCAGGAUAGCUGGUGCUCGAUCGGAAUCAGUCUCAUCCGGUAAAGCGAAUGAUUAGAGGCCUUGGGGCCGAAACGACCUCAACCUAUUCUCAAACUUUCAAUGGGUGAGAAGUCCGGUUUACCCGACUGAAGCCCGGACGAUUCUCAGGAUGUGAGUGCCCAGUGGGCCACUUUU
rnacentral:rRNA from 1 species